rnacentral:rRNA from 1 species
GACGAACGCUGGCGGCGUGCCUAAUACAUGCAAGUCGAACGCAGUGGGGACGGGUGAGUAACCCGUGGGUAACCUCCCAUCAGUGGUGAAAACAUUUGGAAACAGGUGCUAAACCGAUACUGAUGGAUGGACCGGCGGUGCAUUAGCUAGUUGGUGAGGUAACGGAUCACCAAGUCAACGAUGCAUAGCCGACCGGAGAGGGUGAUCAGCCACACUGGAACUGAGACACGGACCAGACUCCUACGGGAGGCAGCAGUAGGGAAGCUUCGUCAAUUGACGAAAGUCUGACCGAGUAACGCCGCGUGAGUGAAGAAGGUUUUCGGAUCGUAAAACUCUGUUGUUAGAGAAGCGGUAUCUAACCAGAAAGCCACGGCUAACUACGUGCCAGCAGCCGCGGUAAUAC